rnacentral:lncRNA from 1 species
UUGAUGAAGUUUCUUUCAAUUAUAUUUAGAUUAAGGGACAAAAAAAAACAAACAAUAAGAUUUUAAAAAUAACAACCGGGUUGAGGUGGUAAUUUCAUUCUCCAAAAAAUGAUAAAAGAAUAUUAAAAUUAUGAAAUCCACUUUUCCCCCAUCUCCAUCAUCUGGAUGGGUACCUGAUACAAGUCCAGAUUUUCUUAUUAUAUUUAUCCAGUAUUUGAAUCAAUAUUGUGGGUUUCCGGAGAACUAAUCCAACCCAGAAAAUGGAGUAGUUAAUUUUGUGAAUGGUUUUCCUGCAAUGAAGUGAGAACGAAGACGACGUGUGUGUCGACGAUAAAGCUCAACAAUAGAUCAGGAAAUGAAAUCUUCCACCGGAAAAGUUUACAAAUUACAAUAUAUAUAUAUAUAUAUAUAUAUAUAUAUAUAUAUAUAUAUAUAUAUCAUCUUCUUUUGGCACCGCACCAAUGCAUAAUAGCUCAAAAUGUUGAAUCAACAACUACAGAGAAUCAAAUCAAAAGUCAAAAGUCAAAAUAUCCUUUUUUAAGUUGAAUAGGAGUAAUCAAUAAUCAUCAUCAUCAUAACCAAGAUCAUCCUCCACCUUAUCUGCCGCGUCAUCUGCGAUCUUGUCCUCCACGUAAUCCACACCCUCAGCUAAUGCCAGUCCACCCAAUACCCCUGCCACCGCACCCACAGCCAAUCCCGUUCCAUCCCCAUCCCACUCUUACUUUUCUUCUUCCCCUCCUCCGCAUACUGCCCGUAACCUGGUUGACCGUACGGAGCGCCGCCGUAAUAUUCCACAGGUGGUGGUGCGGCGUAUGGGUUACCGUAAGGUGGUGGUGGUGCAGCAUAGGAGUUACCGUAGGGUGGCGGUGCAGCGUAGUAGUCCCUCGAAGCCGGUGUCGGGACGCCAUACUGAGGUGGAUAAUUCUG